rnacentral:rRNA from 1 species
UAAAAACCCCGACUUCGGAAGGGGUGUAUUUAUUAGAUACAAAACCAAUGCCCUUCGGGGCUCUUUGGUGAUUCAUGAUAACUAUACGAAUCGCACGGCCUUGCGCCGGCGAUGGUUCAUUCAAAUUUCUUCCCUAUCAACUUUCGAUGUUUGGGUAUUGGCCAAACAUGGUUGCAACGGGUAACGGAGGGUUAGGGCUCGACCCCGGAGAAGGAGCCUGAGAAACGGCUACUACAUCCAAGGAAGGCAGCAGGCGCGCAAAUUACCCAAUCCCGACUCGGGGAGGUAGUGACAAUAAAUACUGAUACAGGGCCCUUUCGGGCCUUGUAAUUGGAAUGAGUACAAUUUAAAUCCCUUAACGAGGAACAAUUGGAGGGCAAGUCUGGUGCCAGCAGCCGCGGUAAUUCCAGCUCCAAUAGCGUAUAUUAAAGUUGUUGUGGUUAAAAAGCUCGUAGAGGAACCUUGGGCCUGGCUGGCCGGUCCGCCUCACCGCGUGCACUGGUCCGGCCGGGCCUUACACUAAAGUGGACGUGGUUAACAAGAUCGUAGUUGAACCUUGGGCAUGGCUGGUAGGUU